UCCCCUAUCACUGUAACGGUAAACUGAUGUUUCCUUUAUGUGCAGCGUGUGCCGUUCAGAUGAAUCAGACAACACAUUGCACUCAUAACGAUCA